UACGUAGGGUGCAAGCGUUGUCCGGAAUUAUUGGGCGUAAAGAGCUCGUAGGCGGUUUGUCGCGUCUGCUGUGAAAACUCGGGGCUUAACCCCGGGCCUGCAGUGGGUACGGGCAGACUAGAGUGCGGUAGGGGAGACUGGAAUUCCCGGUGUAGUGGUGAAAUGCGUAGAUAUCGGGAGGAACACCAGUGGCGAAAGCGGCCGACUGGGCCCAACCUGACGCUGAGGCGCGAAAGCGUGGGGAGCGAACCGG
rnacentral:rRNA from 1 species